rnacentral:rRNA from 1 species
AUUGAACGCUGGCGGAAUGCUUUACACAUGCAAGUCGAACAGCAGCACGGGGGCAGCCCUGGUGGCGAGUGGCGAACGGGUGAGUAAUACAUCGGAACGUGCCCGGUCGUGGGGGAUAACGUAGCGAAAGUUACGCUAAUACCGCAUACGAUCUGAGGAUGAAAGCGGGGGACCUUCGGGCCUCGCGCGAUCGGAGCGGCCGAUGUCAGAUUAGGUAGUUGGUGGGGUAAAGGCCUACCAAGCCGACGAUCUGUAGCUGGUCUGAGAGGACGACCAGCCACACUGGGACUGAGACACGGCCCAGACUCCUACGGGAGGCAGCAGUGGGGAAUUUUGGACAAUGGGCGCAAGCCUGAUCCAGCCAUUCCGCGUGCAGGACGAAGGCCUUCGGGUUGUAAACUGCUUUUGUACGGAACGAAAAGGCUCUGGCUAAUACCUGGGGCUCAUGACGGUACCGUAAGAAUAAGCACCGGCUAACUACGUG